AUGGAGCACAUCUAUUGAGUACGGCCAGAAAACUACUCAGAAAAGUGAACAUCGAUUAUAAGACUCUUUAUGCUGAUAAUGAACAGAACUGAAUGCUUCCAAAAAAGUCUUCACGAUGGAAGGACAGCAAACAGUGAACAACUGAAACUAGAACUGCGUUACUUCUGCUUGCCCACCCUGUACAUUUCAUCAGCCUAGAGAUGAAGGUGAGCAGCACCCUGAUCUCAGAGAGCAGCUGGAGAAGGAUACUUCCUGCCAAGUACAUUGUGGCAAAAUUGAGUUGAACUACAAACAAUGGGGACAUGCAAAUGCCCUUUUAUACUCUUUAAGACUCCUUGAGAUGGC
ensembl:lncRNA